rnacentral:rRNA from 1 species
UACGAAGGGGGCUAGCGUUGUUCGGAAUCACUGGGCGUAAAGCGCACGUAGGCGGAUUUGUCAGUCAGGGGUGAAAUCCCGGGGCUCAACCUCGGAACUGCCCUUGAUACAGCAAAUCUAGAGUCCGGAAGAGGUGGGUGGAAUUCCUAGUGUAGAGGUGAAAUUCGUAGAUAUUAGGAAGAACACCAGUGGCGAAGGCGGCCCACUGGUCCGGUACUGACGAUGAGGUGCGAAAGCGUGGGGAGCAAACAGG